GAGGACAACAGCAGACCUGAGUGAACUCCAGUAAAGCCCUUCCUACCCAGCCACUAAAUACAGCUGAAAUCACUAUAGCUGGAUUAGGUGGUAGAGCCUCAAGACAAGAGCAGGCUAGACUGUGAGCGCUUUGAGGCAGGGGCCAUGUCUUCUUAUCUGCAAUGUGAGGUGGUUGCUUUGAAUCAUGAUGAAGCCUGGAAGAGACUGUGAUCCAAAUUCCAGAGCCCUUCAAGGAGACAACCUAUAAGGCAGGGAACAGAUUUGCCAAUAUUUCUGCUGAUAGUCAUCCUUUUGGGGCUCUGACACUCCUUCACUACAGUGAAGCACCAGACCAAGGGGCACUGCCAGCAAGAAAUCAGCCAAUCACAAGAGAGAGUUAAGUGUUUUCAGACCCUUCACCUGCCCGUGAAUGCUUGUGCCAAUUUUACAACCACAUUCUCCUAUUUAAAGAAGAUAUUUCUCUCUCUCUCUCCUUUUGCUGUCUGAAAGAUCCACACAACCAGGGGGAACAAACAGCCAGUGGGAGGAAGUGGUGGGGAGAGCUCUGGAAAUGAGUGGC